rnacentral:tRNA from 1 species
AGAGUUUUAAGUUAUGUUAAGACUAAAGUAUUUCAAGUACUGAAGAGGGAUGUUUCUCAUACUCUG